ACUUAAAAUCCGUUGGCUUAAUUGACCGUGAGGGUUCAAGUCCCUCUUCCCCCA
rnacentral:tRNA from 1 species